rfam:Pteropus alecto contig168806, whole genome shotgun sequence.
GGUUCCAUAGUGUAGCUGUUUGUACGUCUGCUUUACACGCAGAAGGUCCUGGGUUCGCGCCCCAGUGAAGCCA